rnacentral:rRNA from 1 species
GACAAACGCUGGCGGCGUGCAUAACACAUGCAAGUCGAACGGUCUCAUUAAGGUGAGAUAGUGGCGGACGGGUGAGUAACACGUAGAUAACCUGCCCAAUAGUGGGGAAUAACUCCUCGAAAGAGGAGCUAAUACCGCAUAAGCUCUCUCUUGUGAGAGGGAGAGGAAAGCUCUUUAUUUCGCAAGAAAUAGGGGGCGGCUGAAGGAGGGGUCGUGCGGCGGAUUAGCUAGAGGUGGGGUAAAGGCUUACCUAGGCGACGAUCCGUAGCUGGUCUGAGAGGACGACCAGCCACACUGGGACUGAGAUACGGCCCAGACUCCUACGGGAGGCAGCAGUGAGGAAUAUUCCACAAUGGCCGAAAGGC